UAGGGAAUAUUGGUAAUGUGCGAAAGCGCGAACCAGCAACGCCGCGUGCACGAUGAAGGCCUUCGGGUCGUAAAGUGCUUUUAGAGAGGAUGAGGAAGGACAGUACUUUCUGAAUAAGCCUCGGCUAACUACGUGCCAGCAGCCGCGGUAAAACGUAGGAGGCUAGCGUUAUCCGGAUUUACUGGGCGUAAAGCGCAUGCAGGUGGUUUUGUAAGUUGGAUGUGAAAGCUCCCGGCUUAACUGGGAGAGGUCGUUCAAAACUACAAGACUUGAGAUUGGUAGAGGAAAAUGGAAUUCCGGGUGUAGUGGUGAAAUGCGUAGAUAUCCGGAGGAACACCAGUGGCGAAAGCGGUUUUCUGGACCAAUUCUGACACUCAGAUGCGAAAGCUAAGGUAGCAAACG
rnacentral:rRNA from 1 species